GUGAUGCUGCGGGGCGGCCCGGAGGACGCCCCUCCCGCCGGCCCGGCCCGGCUCCAGCGCGCGCCGCCUGGGCCCCGUCUGAGUUGGAUUUAUCUACUGAGAACAUAGAAGACUUACUUUCAUCAUCUGAAUCAAAUCCAAAGAGUGUCUGACAUUUCUUUUGUGCAAGGUUUAAGAGAAACGAAGUGAUACUGAAGCUUGUCAUCACCAAGAAAUCAAAUAACAAAUGCUGAGGUUAAUUCACGAGUGGGAGCCUGACCCCAUUAGCCCAGAAUCGCUGGGCUGUUCUCAACUCUGAAGCUUGGAUACCAUUGGCAUUACCACUGGUGUGCAGUAGGAGAGCAUGAAGAAAAACAACAAAGAAAACAAAGGUUUGAAAAUGUGAGUCUCAGUUUCCCUGCAAACAGGUAUCUUUGAGGAUCAGCUGUAUCCCUUCCCUCAUGGCUUAUGUCACAACCCAUUGUGCCUGAAAUAAAUAUUUCCUUUUCCCUAUGCAAGUUAGACACUGAUGUUUUUAACUGCAAACUUAACUCAUGUAAAUCUCAACUUCAUUUUGUACUAGCUGUAGCUGUGCAACUUUUCUCUCUUUAAUCUGGUUAUUUUAUAUGUAAAAAUUGAAAUUAUUUCUGUACAUCUUUUUUCUAGUGUUGAAACAUUUUAAAGCUUGAAAACAAUUUUAAAGAUAUAUUUAUUUCAUUAAAUUCUUUGGUUUCAGAAGUUAUCAAAAGAGCUAUGAUUAGAGAUAACUACUGAUACUGAUGUAGUGAGUAAAAUUUCAAAAUAAAGUAAAAAUUCAAUGUUCAAUUUAUUUUAUUCAACAUCUUUAUUAAAAGAAUUAGAUAAAACAUCUAGGUGUAAAUUCUGGUAUAUACUGAUGUUUAGUAAAUCAUUAGUUUGUUUUAUUUAUUAUCUGUGUAAUUUUCAUAGUCUCAAACAAUGAGAUUUAUUCAAUAAAUAUUUGUAAAAUGAUAAUCCAGUAAAUUUUAUUUUUUUUAUUGUUAUAGUGGUGGUGUUGGAGAUUAAUACCGGGGCCUUUACAUGUAGGCAAAUGUUCUAUGACUGAGCUGCAUUCUCAGCCUGAUAAUAUGGUAACUACUGUACUCCUAAAUGCUGAAGGCUCUUAAGGAAAUAUAUUAACAGAAAUUGUACACGUGGUUUAAGAUAAAAAAUGAUGCCAAACUUUCUGAAUAAGUAUUUUCAUUUAGAAAAGUGAUAUGGAUAUAGAAGGCAAACAGAUCGACUAUACUGAAGAAGACAAAGCAUAUCUCUGCAAUAGAUUUUCGAACAAAGCAUGAUAGUUGGAAAUCAUGAGAGAUAUUCCAUUCAGUACUAUAAAGUGCAUACUAAUUAUAUUUGAAAUGUUUUCCAAAAGAUAAAUUUGAGGCUCCUUACAGAUAUUCUUAGGGCACAGUUUUUCUUCUUCUUUUUAAGUACAAAUACCUUAUUUCCUUUUGUCUCUGUUAAGCCAGGGGAAAACUUAGAAAACAAAUAUAUAUCCUAUGAUCUUAACAGAUUCACCAGGAAAGGGCUACUUGACAGACUUCAGGCCUUAUAGUAGCCAAAGCAGAAAUCUCAGAUUAUAGUUGUAAAACUCCAUUUUGAAUGAAUGUACAAAAUAAAAUCUCAAGUUUUACUUGUACACUGGAUUCUGGAGGAAAACAAAACAAAAAAACCAAACAGGAAAAAUUAUCCUCAAAACCUCUGGUAGGGUCGGGGAGAUAGCUCAAUGGCACAAGUGCCUGCCUGGCAAGCACACGGUCCUGAGUUCAAUUUCUAGUACCAAAAAAAAAAAAAAAAGAUAAGAAACUCACUGGUAGUCUUUAUUUAGAAGUCCAAAGGGCAGGCUGUUUUGUUUUAGAGACAGGGGCUCAUCACUAGUUGAGGCUGGCCUUGAAUUUAUGGCAAUCUUCUUGCCUCAGCCUCCCUAGUGCUAGAAUUUCAGGCAUAUACCACCUUUCCUGGCUCGAAGAGCAGGUUUAGUGAAACUUAAAUUUUCUUUUAGACAGACCGCCCUUUAGAAAAUAUAGCAUCCAAUCAAUGCCCAAUAUACUUCCCAGGUAGCUUUAAGAUUCUACUAAUUACUAAGAGAAUCAUCAAAUUAUCUAGUUUCUACAAAAAACCCGUAACAGUCUACAGUCACACUUACAAUGUAUGUUUUUUUCCCCUAAACUUGACCCAUUUAUAAUAAAUAAUUUUAAUAGCUGAGGUCAGUCAAGCUGCCCAGAUAUGGUAUUGACUUCACUAUUUCCUAACAGAAUGGCUUAAAUACAAUAUUAUCUAUGCCAUAAGAAUGUGGCAUUAAAUGAGAUAAUGCAUAAAGUACAGGAUACAUGAAACACUCAUUACAUGUUAGUAGCUGUUACUAUCAUUAUUAUGGUUACUAUUAUUAUGAUAGUGAAGCAGAAAUGGAGUUAGUAGCUUGCUCUGCAGAUAUAACUUGGCUGGACUCUGGAUUUGGUUCUGCCCACAAAGGGGGAAAUGAAGAGCAAGCCUGUACGAAACAGACAAUAUAGACCUUGAAGGAUGAAAAGAAUUCUGCUCUUCAAUGUACAGUAAAAACCUAACUUUUAACAGCAAGAAAAACAACCCUAGCGUUCAGAAACAUAGAAGACAGAUAUGAGAAAAAGGAGGGCAGGUUAUCAGAACUCAAGACUAUUCACAAGGAAAGGCUUAAAAAGAUAAAGACUCCCUUCUUAUUAGGCAGUUUGAGUCACACCCACUUCUAUUCUUAAAUUUCUGUGGUCAGGAACCAGAAGUUAGGCACUGUUCCCUUUUUAAGGUUCCCCACUAAAGAACAGAAAUUGGUUAGCUAAGAGAAAAAGAAAAUGAAGUAUAUUUUCUUUUCCUUUUUAAAAAAAACUUGUCCCUAGUUAUUUAUGAAUAAAAAGAUUAAAGAUACCAUAUUUAAAUAGUUUAACAAAGCUAAGAGGAGGGAACAUUCUUACGCUCAUAGGACAAGAUCUACUAUUAACAGUUGUAACUAUGGUUCACUGCAGAGUAACUGAAUAUCAACAAAUGGUAAUACACUGAA